rnacentral:SRP_RNA from 1 species
UGCAGCCGGGGAGAUAGCGGUGCCCUGUAUCUGCAAUCCGCUUUAGCAGAGGUGAUGUCUCCUCCCGGAGCGUUGAUUGCGAAGCUGCCCUGUUUGGUGGGACGUUGAUGUCAGGGUCCCGCGCAAUGAGAUCCCGUGAACCGUGUCAGGUCAGGAAUGAAGCAGCACUAAGCGGAUAAUUUCAUGUGCCGUGGGAUAGCCUUGGCUGAGUUUUGCCGGCAGGUA